ACGCCCUUGGUGCGCGCAGAGCGGGCAACCCUGCAGCCGAGACCCGGCUCCUUCGGCGCUGACUCUAGAUGAGCUCAGAUCGGUAGCGUUAUAGUACAUGAAUGGGCGAUCGGAGCGCGUACAGGCGCAUCAAUCAUUGUCAGUGGUGAAGCAUCAGCAAGUGCAGUGGUGUGUUUGGGAUUAAUGCGGGGCUUGGGACGGUUAUGAGGGCAUGAAUGAGGUCUCUAACUACCUGCCUCUGGGAGGAGUUGUGGCCGCGACGAGGUGAUCAUGUGGGGCUACAAUAUAGACACACAAAUGUACGCGUCUCCAUGAUGAUGGACCAUCAGGAGCUGUGAGUGGAAUUGGUCUGCUGAGCCCUCCUUAGCUUGAAAUUUUGGGGUUUUCCGAUUGCAGUUCAGACAGUUACAGCUUGCCGGGGAUGCAGGGCGAAGUGUUUUGAUCUUGUCUGACUUCCAGAUGUGUUUUUUUGAGGGUUGAGUGUCAGCUGGGAGAAGUUUUAGCUUAUGAGAUCUGUACAUUGUGAGGUUUGGAGUCUAAAAUACUUCGAGAUGUGUAGAGCUUGUUAGGAUUUCAUUCAAGCUGACCUUCAACUUUUGGGAUUGGCUCGAAAUAUACAAGUUGACUACGGCCACGACAAGGAACAAUUGAGAGUGGAGACUGGCUUGAUGCUAAUCACUUGCAGUGAGGUUUCCUCUGCUGAAUCUACAGCCAUUAUUGAUCUCAUACCUUUUAACAUAUGCCUGAUAUAUUCCUCCAGAUCACUCGACUGCAUGUUGACGAGUGAUUCAGUCGCCGUAAGAUGUCGAGCAGCUAAUAGAUUGUAGUGCAAAAUGAAUGCUGCUGAAAACUAAGAGAGGCACAUGGUGACGUUGUGAACCGGGCCUUAGUCGACGAACUCCAGCAUCGUGGUGCUGUUCUCGUCUUAGAUGUUCUGUCCAGGGUGUCUUACCCAAGUGCGGUGCUACUAAUUGUGGAUUCUUGGACGCUCUGUUAUUUCACGAAGGCAGCGUGAUUUAACUCAAUCCCUCUUUGCGCUGAUUUCAAUUAAAAGUUUUCUUGAAAUGAACUUUCCGUAGAAGUUCACUUAAUAAGCUAGUGAUUGAAUUAGUGUGGGUCGUUCAGUGGCUUGCAGCACGCAGGUCCCGCCAAGACUGUGGUGAAGUUCACUAAUUAAACUGACGCAAACACUUUACGCGACCCCACACGCGAGUGUAACAUGUAAAAGCUGCAAACUGAGUGAUCACUGCCUUUUGAUGACGGCACUCUAUUCAAGUUCCGUCACAAGGAAGAGUGCGUAGCACAUUUGCCCAGAGGCCCACACGACCAAACCAUUUCUUAAUCUUAUCCUACUGCCUACAUGGACCUGAGCUCCUAUUUUCCUUUUGGAGAGGGUGGGGGAAGGCUUCGUGUGUAUUUUUGUGUGCGUGUGUGUGAGUGGGUGCUCGGUGGCUGGUGCGCUGCGACGUCCGAUUCGUUGCAACUUUGUAACGAACAGUAUAUACCCGUCGUUUCUGAGAAGUUGAAGCAUCGAACUCUUAGUACAAAUGGUGGAAGCUCCAAGACGGGAUUAUCUAGGCACGCUGGUCACGGAAUUGGGGAUAGAGAUAAAAUAUUAGGCCCAGUGUUAGAGAAGGUCUGUCGGCCGGAGAGAACUUAUCUUUUUUGUAUACUUGCAGUACUUCAAGCUGCUGCAAGGCACUCGGCUAGGAGUUUGGUUAGACCUCGUUGAGGUUCUGUAAGUAUCCGAGGGCUCAACCGAUCUUUGUAUCUGUGUAGACGUUUGAGAUUCUGAAGCCACAAAACAAGGCUGGAGCUGUGCUGUAGACAUCCCUGAUGAGCUUGCAACCUGAGUGACAUCAACAUAUCUGAGGUGUCCUGUUGUCUCCUAGCCUACUUGAUUUUGAAAGUUGUUCUCAUGUAUUCGUUCGGAACGCUGAAAUCCUGCUGCAGAUGGUUCUUAAACAGUUCCUAGUGCAUUAACAAGAACAUUGGGGUAGGACUGACUUCCUUCUAAGACCUUGUAGAACCUCUUGUUACAGGACUGCCUGAGAGAAGCUGUUUACGACGUUAAAUGCUGCAUCCAUGCAAUUUCUAUUAAGCACCGAGGAAGAUGAGAAUUCUAAAUGUUGGAUUCAUGUUGUUAGAGCUUGUCUCCUCUUGGGAAUGUAGAUAGGAAAAACCGCGCUCCUAGUUACAAGCUCCUUUCACCUGCACCUUACGUAGCUCGAUUUCGGAGCAGUAAAUCAGCUUGGGACAGGACGAUUGCUGCUGUGAUCCGUAAAUGGGAUCGCCUGAUUCGGAUCAUCGUGAUUAGUGGCCGUGAAGCUCUCCGUUAAGCCGAUCAGACAGAUAUCAAUUCAAGCAUGGUGUCCAGGUUACUGCGACGUCGUUUCACUUCAAGAGCACAGCACUUUUGCCGAGUUAAUGUGGUUGGUGUUCCGGUCGGAACGAAUUCCUUGGAUCUGUGUUCACGGAAUUUCCCAGGUUGUUGGUUGUACAUCAAGUUCCGUGGAGCGGAAUACCUUCUUCCCGAGCACCCGUGACCAUAAAUAUUGUUCUACCCUUUGCUGGCAUUAGAGAAGAUGAAGGAUGUAACCGUACGAUGCCAUCAAGGAAUUCUCGCGGAGUGAAUGGUAUUAACACAGACUGGGACGUCUGUUACGGAAUCAGUGCCGUGAUGAUACCCCCGCACUGCUUUCAGAUUAAGAUACAGCUAUCACACCGUCUGAUAUUGCAGUUAUGGGCCGCCAUUCGUGCUCUCACAAGCAGAAACUGAAGAAAGGCUUGUGGUCCCCGGAGGAAGAUGAAAAGCUUGUGCGAUACAUUACCAAGCACGGCCAUGGCUGCUGGAGCGCUGUUCCCAAGCAAGCAGGGUUACAGAGAUGUGGAAAAAGCUGCAGGUUAAGGUGGAUAAACUAUCUGAGGCCAGACUUAAAGCGAGGGGUUUUCUCACCAGCAGAGGAGAAUCUGAUCAUCGACCUUCAUGCUGUUCUUGGUAACAGAUGGUCGCAGAUAGCAACUCAGCUUCCCGGUCGCACAGAUAACGAAAUAAAGAACUUCUGGAAUUCUUGCAUUAAGAAGAAGUUACGAAAUAUCGGUAUCGACCCCAACACACACAAACUAGUGAAUGGGGAGUCGAAUUCAAAUCUAGAAGGUUCCUCCAGCAUCGACCCACCUCAUGAGCGCCCUCUCAACUCUUCACCUCUCCUUACAGAAGCUCCACCCUCACAAUGCACUUCUCAAGCGGCUGGGUUAGUGAGACUUCCCAUCCAAGAAUGCAAACUCCAAGCCCCUCGGAUGUUUUCCACGAGUUACAUGGAGUCCGACGGGAUGUACAAUCCAACCAGAAAUCCUCACUUCAGUUCAAAUGGCUCACUCACAGAUCACCAAAAGUAUCUUGAGUUAAUAAGGACCAAUAGCUCCCCUGGCAGCUGCAUGAGUACCUAUCCUCUUUCGACAGAUAAUCUUCUUGAGAGUUUGCGAUUGUGUGGAGAGAAUAAAGGACUGCAAUUGCCGCCAAAGGUGCCGCCCUUUUCUCCUCCAACUGGACACAGCAGUUCCCACUUCGAUAGUAACUCCAUGAUUUCUUGCAGCUUUCCAAUCUCCGGUCAUGACAGUGACCAUCAUGGCAGUAUUAAGCCUGACCUCGCGACGGCAGUACCGGCCGCUCACAAUCCUGUGUUCUGGAUAUUGCAAGGCUCAGAUCGAAGUUCCCAAGCUCAUGGGCAGGCGAGCAUGUCCAGUGGGUUGCAGGAAAUGUUGCAGCAUUCGCAACAGUUCUUCAAAUCCUCAAGAGAUCAAAAUGGUGCUAGUACUCCGGAGCAGUUUCCAGAGAUUGAGAUGAGAUUAGGACCCUUCACAUCUUAUUCUCGGAUCGCCUCGUUGAGGAGCAAUUAUGCUGGGUCAGUGGACAAGGGCGAUUUGAACUCCAUGACAGCAUGCUUCCAGUUGCCACACUUUGGCGCUAGCUCAGUGUCAAACCAUAUCAUCUGCCCGCGAGCUCCAGAAAACAGCGUCAACGCCCGCGGGGCAUACCAUAGUUCGCUCAGGUCUUACCCCUUCAAAGGAACUCAAGUGGAAGUCGAGAAAGCUUUGACCUCCGGUGAGGUGGCAGCAGGUGGCCGGCACGAGCAAUACCAUUGGGAUCAGGGCAUUAGUGCUAGCAGCAGUACUAGCAACAACACAGAAAUUAGCAUGUUUGAGACGAGCACUCUCUUUUGGGGUGGUGGACUUGUGGAAAAGUCAGACGCCGCCAAGCAGGAUCAGUUAAUGCUGCCUCGCUCUGUGAAGAUCGACCAGAGCAGUGUCGCGCCUGCCACUCAGGCGUGCAGUGACCACAGUGGUGGCUUUUCUCCGGACCAGUCUGAUGGCGAUACAGUGAUGAAAUGGUGCAGUGAUCAGCUCAUGCCAACGCCUGAGCAACCAGUAUUUUCAGCUGCAACAUGUGGGCACCAUACACUAUAUCAAGAGAAUCACCAAAGUCAGACUCGGCAGGGUAAGGUUGAUCAAUCUUCACCCGAUCAGAGUUUGGUGCAAGAUGACCAAUCGUUCAGCAACUCUCGUGUUUCCAUGCACUGGCAAAACAUGCACCAGGGCGGCCAAGACAUGUAUGACCCUUCCGUAGGUGAUCGGAUCAUUGCCCCCAUGUCUCCAGAGCUUCAACGCAUGGCUGCAGUCCUUGAUCAAAUUUAAUGUUUGAGUCCUUGUCUCGAAGACUUUCAACUACCUCGGCAAAUGGCACUGCUACGCAUUCAGCAGUUAUUCGGUCCCACCGGUCAGAGUUCCUGCGAUCGAAUUGCUUUCAUAUAUACACCAUGUCGGCUGUUACCCAUGCUUGAUCGUAUCUCCUCAUAAGACUCCAAGGGAUGGAAAUAAGAGAUUCGAUUGAUCAGAUGAUUUGUACCAAUUUAUUUAAAAGCCCUUCCACCGCCUGGUUCUGCAGGAUUUUUUUUGAAUAAACUACUCUGCCAUCGUAGAAACAGAAAUCAAGUGGGGAUUGCAGUCACACACUCCGCAACCAGCGACGCAAUUCAUGCAUUGGCUCCUUCGGGGUCCUGACACAUUCCAGGGCAAUGACAUUUCAGAUGGAAACAGGAAUCAAUAUGUUCCUAAACAAAGCCAUACAAUACGGUCAUGUGUGAGUCAUACCUCUGCCAGAGGUGAUUAUUCCAAAUCAAAAAGCCAGCCAUGGCCUGACAUGAUAAACUUGAAUAUUCGUAGCCGCUUUCGGGGACACAGGUCUAUUGUACUUGGGGGGCAUUGUAUUCCAGGUUGGAGAAUCCCACAACAACAAGCAAAAAAGUUACUGCACCGUUGUAUCAUCGAUCACGAUAGCAAGAAACUUAAUGAAUAAAACUCAUUGAACUUGCGCGAGAAAAGCGUCCAUCA